AUAACUAAGCGGAGGAAAAGAAACUAACCAGGAUUCCCCCAGUAACGGCGAGUGAAGCGGGAAGAGCUCACGUUGUAAAUCUGGCUAGCUCUGUGUCUGCCGGAAUUGUAGUCUGGAGAGGCGAGGCCAGCCGGCGGCGGGGGUCAAGUCUCUUGGAAAAGAGCAUCAAGGAGGGUGACAAUCCCGUUCCUGCCCCCAUCCUUGCCGCGCGUACGGCCCGUUUUCGAAGAGUCGAGUUGCUUGGGAUUGCAGCUCAAAGCGGGUGGUAAAUUCCAUCUAAAGCUAAACACGGGUGGGAGACCGAUAGCGAACAAGUACCGUGAGGGAAAGAUGCAAAGAACUUUGAAAAGAGAGUUAAAGAGUGCCUGAAAUUGCUGAAAGGGAAGCGAAGGAAACCAGUGUCUGGCGGGUCCGCCUCCCCGUCGCCCCCCGGGGCGGCGGAUCGCGUUCCCGCCGUGGCCAGGGCCGGAUGCGGCCGCGGGACCCCGCGCCAGGGAAGGUAGCUUAUCCGGUCUCCGGAGGGUGAAUACCCUGGCGCCUCUUUUCCCCGUCGCGGCCGCGACCGGUCCUGACGAAAUGGUUUUCUUCAC
rnacentral:rRNA from 1 species